UGGCCAGCUUAGCUGGGGGAGCCUAUUUUUGCAAUUACCAUGUGGCAGUAAGAAGAUUCUAGGGACAGAAACAAAGAAGCAGAGUUUAAUCUUGUUCUGAAAUUAUCUUCCUGGAUAGAUCUCUGCAGUAGGUUUUUGUGUGUUAAUUGCAGGCUUUUUAAAAAAGGGAUAUUCAAAACUAGAAGAAUAAAACCAAGAGAAACUCCUUUUGGUGAGAUAUACAAAAUAUAGAGACUGCAACAAGGCACAGCAGGUCUUCUGGCACUCCACAUAAUGGUGAGCACAUGGAGGGUGACUGGUAGAGUGAAGUACAUCAGGGAAGCAGUAAAAAGUAGCCAUUUUUCCCUUUCUGCCUGUUCCCUCUCCAGUGCUCCAGGGACAGAGCUGUCUCUCACUGUGGAAUAAGACCAGCUUCCAGGAAAGUACACCUAAACCACAGGAGGUGAGACACCUGCUGAAACCUGAGCCAGCCGAGUGUUCAAAUGUGGACCUGAGCAGCCACAGCCUUAGAUCAGUGUCCUACUGAGAGCAGCAUGAUCUCAGAGUGCCCAUAUAGCAUUAGAAAGGUAAUAGAUGGGGGUCUGUGCAGCAGUCAUAUUUCUGAAUUCGUGGAGGAGGUAAUUCAGUUCCUUUUCAAUGACAUAGUAGCUGACAUACCAGGCAGGACCUGAAACGUGGGAUUUAUCUAGAUGUAGAUUUUCCUGAGGUUUGACAUAGAAAACAGAAUCUGAAAUUUUGACUGAUGGAUAAUUAGAAAAAGAAAGAAAGGAAACUACCCCUAAAAAUAAGCUGAGGGAGGUGCAGCAUUGAAACACUGGAUGGCCUCAGCUCUGCACACUCCCAGGGAGAGCACCUGCAGACAGAUCUGCAGGACAGAGAGUUGGCAGAAAUGGGCUGGGAGCCAUGAACAAAGGCUGUGGUCUGUCAGGGGAGUCCCCCUGCAUGCCAGGAAAUAGAAGACUCUGCAGGAAGUGAAUUGUGUCAGGGAUGCUGUCCUCCAUCAUAUGCCUGGCUCCUUUAUGCAAGCAGCUGAGAGUGUCCCAAGCAAAAGCUGAAGUCCCAGGUAAAAACAGUAAUAGAGAUGUUGGUCGGAUUUAUAAAAAUAUAAGUGUCAAUUCAAAUAAUUUUAUUUAAUUUUGUCACAAACAGGCUGUUAAUGUUCCCUUCCCUGAUGAGAUUUGUCCUACCCAUGUUACUAUUUAGUGCCAGCGAGGGGUUUAGUGCUUUUUUUCCCCUGAAUGGUUUAUUUUGCCAUCUGCCUUCCUGAUGGGCUCUCUGACUUUAAUGUACCUCUGUGGGCUUAGUGUCUUUAGAUUUAGAUUACAGCCAAUGGCAAGACAUCUCAUUCUUUGCAUCUGCAUUCUACCAACUGGCUCAAUUGAAGAUUACAAAGGUUGGAUUUUCAGGUUCGCUGUUUAAGGAUCAAAAAGCGGGCACUGGUGGUUUUGCUAUGAGAGGAUCAGACAGAGGGGGUGGUGCAGAUGUUCUUUCUGAUGUUGAUUUACUUAUUAGAGUAAAACAAAUAUAUUCCAUAAUACUCUUUCCUAUUCUGUGAGAAAGAAGGUAUGAUUUAAUUUUUUUCACUUAGUAACUCCUCCAUUGUCUCUGCUGCUGCAAGUUGUGGAGGAGAUAGCUGGAGAUGAACUAUCAAAAUGCUUGUUGGUAUGUCCCAAAUUGAGACUAAACCAGUAGAUGCAAGACAAAAAUCCAAGACUCUGCUAUUCCAGCAAAAUGCUGCUGAUCUGGCUUGGGGGACAGACAAAUAUCUAGAUCAGACAAAUAUUAUCCAGACACAGCUCAGUAAUGCAUGCAAAGCUGAUCAGGCCUGGCCUUUAUUAAAGCUUGAAUGGCAGAUAGUGAAAUAAGCAGUGCCUCCUGUAAUCACAAGGAAAGAUAUGGAUCUCUCCAUGAUGGAUUGCUGUUUAGAGAGACAAAAUAUGAGUAAUCCUAAUUCCCUUCCUCCAAUUUCUUCCCUUGACCUUUCUUCCCUUGACUCCUUUUUCCUUUCUUCUGCCUCAUCACUUUACACAGCCUCCCUUAUGGUGCUUCAUAUUGUCAGUUUUUGUCACCUAAACCUGUAAAAAGGCUGACACAGGUCAUCUAGGCAAGGACUGUGAGAACAGACUCCCAAAACCAUAACCAUCUUCAGCUUCAACAGGCUCCUCCAGCAGCCACUCUUCCUUCAGCCCCUUGCAGUUAAGCCCUCAGUAACCACCUGCAUUCGCUGGACAGCCUCUGGCACUGGGAUAUUACAGACCACCCACAUUUCAUCCAUGCUGCCAUGGUGCCACCAUUAGAUUCUUUGUGCAGGGUUAACUUUACCACGGGUAAAUUUUUAUAUAUAUAUAUGUUUUAUUGUUCAGCUUUUUAAAAUAUAAUUAGUGGUUGGCCAAAAUUUUGCUAGGGGCAAGAUAAAGCAUUGCUUUUUUUGGUGUGUCAAACUUACCUUGUGGAAUUAUUGUUACUGGUAUUCUUUGCAGAGACAUGUAAUUUAUAAAUAUUUCUUCCUUAGAAAGUGGAAGAGUAUAUUUUAAAAAAAUACAGAGUACUUGGGGGGAAAAAUAAAGAAAAAAUAUUCUUGCAUGCUUGGAUAAAGUAACUACUAUGCUGCAUAUUUUUCUAUUAUCACAAAGUAUAUUGAGGAUAUCUGGGCUGAUGUUUGUGAUGUUAUGAAUCAGCUGAAAAGCAGGCAGAGGAUAGAAGAUUGUCCAGACACCACUUUAACAACCACUUGACCCCAAUGGGAAAGGUUAUUGGGUUUUUAUACUUCUUUUUAUUCCUCAGGCUUAGCCCUGCAGAAAACAGUUAAGCUGUCUGUCUCCGACUAGUUUUUUCUCUUUUUUUUUUUUUUGUAUGUUUACUAAAUGCUGCCCUUCUGUCAUUUGUAUGUUAAGAUACUCCCUACCCUAACAAAGUAGUAUACUUAGAAGUGCCAUGUCCAUAUGAAUUACAGAAGCUCUUUCAGCCUUCUGUUGCUUUUUAUCAAUCUGUGCAAUUGCAUAAGACUUUUGCAACCUCAUAAGGCAGGAAAAAUCUACAGUCAGAAGGUUGUAAACUACAGGAGCUUGCUAGGCUUGAAUGGACCUGAAAGGCACAGUGGAGCACAGUGAGGUCACAGCUGAAGUCCUCUUCACAAAAGGGUUCCCAGACUAUCCUGGAGUCUGAGACAAAGAGAAGAAAAGCAGAUGAGUCCCUUUCUCCUCUCCCUCAAUACUUUAACACGCUGCAUCACUGACUGACCCAUCCACUCUCCCAAUAUCUGUGAAAUAUGGAAGAUGCAUUUGUAGAAUCACACAGGCCUCCUUUACAGGAAAAGUAGAGGAGACAACAUCCUCUGUUGGAGACAAACCAGCAGAGGGUUACUGGAAGUGGCUUUCUCUUCUUCACACAUUUUAGCAGCAUGGUUAAGUUUUACAAAAGAAGGAUUUAGUCAUUGAUACCAUGAGAAUAUUUAUCUGGUGCUACCUGCAUUUGGCAUUCAGUGAAAAUGAAGUAUGAGGGACAUUUCCCAAGACUAAAAAGACCUGUGAUUUGAUGAGGAGAAAGAAAAAAAUCUAAAGGUACUGCAGAGGAAGAUACAUUUUCUCUCCCAUUUUCAAGCUAAGAGGAGAUUAGAAAGCUUCAAAAGAUUUCUAUCUGAUAUGAAUGUAUUGCAUUGUGGUGGAAUGAACAAUAAGUUUGGGGAAACUGCAAAUGACUUUAUGCCAAUUCCUGUGUUCAUUCUCUCCAUAUUCCUCUCAGGAAAGUGUUGUGGUCUUAUCACAAUUAUUUUUGCCCUGCUGUUACUUGCCAUGGUUCUCUUCCAUUUCAGUGACCUUGUGGCUUUUUCCUUUCCUGGUCUGGCUGCUCCCUAAUCAGACAAGCCAUUUCUCAGUAUCUCCCUUUGGCCCCUAGGAGAUUGGCUAGUUUGGCACUCUUUUUUUUUUUUUUGUUGAAGAAACACUCUAAUUGUUAACCCUGGUUUUGUACAUUUCCUUACUCCAACUUUUCCUGACACAUUAUGCAUAAUAGGUUUUGGUUACUGGUUGCCCCAUCACAGCUUUGCCUUCUCACUGUGGUUGCUCUUACCCUGCUCUCUGCACCUCCCUGCUACUCCUUUUUGGUCCUCAAAAAACCUGCUGCAUGUUGCCUGGAGGUUUAUGCAGGUGUGGGGUGUCUGUGAUGCCAGAUAGGGACAGACCACAGCUCCCUGGAGAGGAGUGGGGAGGAAGGGCACGGACAGCUGGUAAUGAACAAACAGGGCAGAGUGUUCUUCUCUAGCAAAAUGUGCUCCAAAGCUGAAAGUUUGUAUUUGCACUGCCCAGAGAAUUGCUGUGGGAAGAUUUCUGCUCCAUUUCAGCCAGCAGUUUCUGCUGCACACCAGAAUGCUGUGGGCUUUAAUGGACUUUCUGACUGCUCAAUUUUCUUAAGCAAUUUGACUGUUUUCUGCAGUUUUUCCUUUCUUCAGCUAAUGUCUUUCUGUUGAGAGACACCUGAACAUGCCUUAGAAGAGCUUUCACAAUUGCAUUUUGAAUCCUCAUUUGGCACAAAUAUAGCACUAAAAAGAAUGCCUGGAAAUCCCCAAAUUGCUUUUCUGAGACACCAAUUUUCAGCCGCUCCGGUCACUCUGACUGCUUCACUGUCAGUAAUAAGUGAUCCUUUUAAAAGCUGUGGCUCUUGUUCCUAUUUCAGUGACAAGGUAGGAAGCCAGAUCCUCACCAAGUAUAAAUCUAUUUUCUAUGGGUGUUAGAGAGUCCUGCUCAGCUGUAGCCAAGCUGAAGCCCAAAGUCUUUGCCUGGGGAAGAGAUAAAGAGCAGCUGAAAGGCAGUAAACAAAACCAACCAAGACCAUGAUAUGCAUGUUCCGGUGACAAGCUGUGGCUAAGACACAAAAGCAGGAUUUGUUUCCUAAGAUAUGAAACUGUCCCCAGCUGCUUCUCUUUCAUCUUAUCAUACCUUCAUUUACAAGGCCCUCAGCAGGUUUCCUGUUGCUUUUUAUAACAUUCUAGGUAAUUUUUGUGUUCUCCCCAUUGGUCCACCAGCCCAGCCCAUCUCUCUCUGCAUUCAGCACCCCUCUUGCAAGGUAAAGAGACAGCUGGACACCCCCAUGCUCCCCAGACUGCAGACAUGAGAUAUACAAGUGCUGACAGACAAAAAAGAACAGUGCUACAAAGGCACUCAUAUUUCCCCUGUUCAAACCCCGUUCCAGAACCUUGUGAAAACUUACUUUGAAUUUUAAGAUUUGUGAGUGGGUAGGGAUUGAGAUUUAUGCAAAUCUAUUGUAGUAAAGUGCUGGUGCCAUUUGAAUGGCUUUGUUUUUUAAACUGAUGAAAAGCCAAGAGCCACAACUAAAUUUUCAGUGUUUACUUUUCCUGGAAUUAUGAAGAAAAAUACGGACUCAGAAAUAAAAGACACAAAUACUAGUGAACUUAAGAACACUAAUUUUCUUGAUGCUUCCAUGUCUGUAGAGUUUUACUUUUUCUACUGUCACAGGGACCUUUAUUCAAGAAACAGUUCCUACAGUGAUUUUCGCUAUUUCUUGCAUAGUAAUGUGAAAAAUUUGAUGUCCUCAUCUGUGAUGACUUUGACCAUGCAGUCUUAAAGCAAGUUUUAAAAAAUGUGAAAAAUCUGAUGCUGUUAUUCUUCACUAUGGUAACACUUGUCCUAUUUUUUAUUUUUAAUACCUGACUAGAAUUUUCAUAGCUCUUUAGGGAAUGAUAUAAUACUUUCCAUUAAUUUUAAAGGCACGUAUACCUAACUAUACCAAAAAGCUUCUCAAACAUUUUCUCCCACAAAGUUCUGGACUGUUUUGUGAAGUUGGAUUGCUAGUACUUGCUAAUAUAUAUGAGGCAGAACGAUAAUGAAGUUAAUUUAUUUGCACUAAAAGAUAUUUUAGAGUACCACAACAUUUUUUAAUAUCAUUACAGAUAACUGCAGAAGAACAUUGCAAUUCACCUCAGCAGAUUUCAUGGGUUUGCUUCUGACACAGGUGCUAGGUCCUGCAGAGCUACAGCUAGAGAGAGAAAUGAAAGAUUUUGGAUCACUGUCGUGAAUGUAGUAUAAAGGGCAACGUGGUCAUUGAAAUUGCAGGGAAAACUGUGCAUUUCCUAGACUUAUUCUUUGUAAAUGGCAUAUGACUUCUCAAUAGAAAAAGAAGAGUGCUACCUGCUUCAUGAAAUGUGAUUAAGGGUCAAAAUAUAAUUAAGCUAAGUGAAGUUGUUGGUAACAAACUAUCUAGUGAUAGGAUGACUUCCUGCUUGCCUACUUUAGAAUUGCCAAAAUUAUGCACUUUUUGCAUACUGAAGGAAUAGAUUACAUUGCCUGUCUGCUGCUUUAUUAACCUACUUUGUGAUGUACCAUCCUUAUGUGGAUUUGCUAUCAGUCCAGUAUAAAAGACAUUCUUCUUGGUUUUUUAAAUUUUUUAAAAAAAAUGUAUUUAAGGCUAUAAUUUCUUCACAUACAUCAUACAAAGAAAAAAAAAAAA
rnacentral:lncRNA from 1 species